AAAGAAACCAACAGGGUAUUGCCUUAGUAACGGCGAGUGAAGCGGCAAAAGCUCAAAUUUGAAAUCUGGCACCUUCGGUGUCCGAGUUGUAAUUUGAAGAAGGUAACUUUGGAGUUGGCUCUUGUCUAUGUUCCUUGGAACAGGACGUCACAGAGGGUGAGAAUCCCGUGCGAUGAGAUGCCCAAUUCUAUGUAAAGUGCUUUCGAAGAGUCGAGUUGUUUGGGAAUGCAGCUCUAAGUGGGUGGUAAAUUCCAUCUAAAGCUAAAUAUUGGCGAGAGACCGAUAGCGAACAAGUACAGUGAUGGAAAGAUGAAAAGAACUUUGAAAAGAGAGUGAAAAAGUACGUGAAAUUGUUGAAAGGGAAGGGCUUGAGAUCAGACUUGGUAUUUUGCGAUCCUUUCCUUCUUGGUUGGGUUCCUCGCAGCUUACUGGGCCAGCAUCGGUUUGGAUGGUAGGAUAAUGACUAAGGAAUGUGGCUCUACUUCGGUGGAGUGUUAUAGCCUUGGUUGAUACUGCCUGUCUAGACCGAGGACUGCGUCU
rnacentral:rRNA from 1 species